UCCUUCAGCACGCCUACCACGGUUCUGCCGCGGUCACGGUAGAAUCGCGGCCAAACACCUCUGCGGAAACUAAUUUUAUCUGCAACUAUCUUCCAUCGCGUUUCUACCGCGAUCGUGGUGGAACCGCGACAUACUCACUUUUCUGAUUCUUCAGCCUGUUUUUGCGUGUUUCACUUGGUGUAUUUCACAGUUGGCCUCCUUUUA
rnacentral:lncRNA from 1 species